UACGUAGGUGGCAAGCGUUUGUCCGGAAUUAUUGGGCGUAAAGCGCGCGCAGGCGGUCCUUUAAGUCUGAUGUGAAAGCCCACGGCUCAACCGUGGAGGGUCAUUGGAAACUGGGGGACUUGAGUGCAGGAGAGAAGAGUGGAAUUCCACGUGUAGCGGUGAAAUGCGUAGAGAUGUGGAGGAACACCAGUGGCGAAGGCGAC
rnacentral:rRNA from 1 species